rnacentral:pre_miRNA from 1 species
CCUACAUCUAUGUGUGUAGGACCCCAAAGGAUCACCAUUAAAUUUGGCACAAAUCUCUAGAAAAGUUAUCACAUGGAUGUGAGACUUGGCUUUUCUAGAGAUCUGUGCCAAAUUUAAUGGUGAUCCUUUAGGGUCCUACACACAGGUGCAGG